UAGUGCACGGUUUGACUGUUAUUUGCUGUCUUUCUCGUUUCGAUGCAGUACUUAAAGUGAACUAUUAAGCAUUUCAAAAUGUUUGUUAAGUAGCGUAAAAUGUGGUAAAGCAGAUGAAGUGUGCAUACAACAUUAUAGUGAAAUCCAUGUGAAAGGAAAAUAGCAUUAUCCAGGCUGUUCUUCAAUUGCAAACAAAGAGAAUUAAGAUGGAAACAAAUGCAAAAUAUCCAACUGAAAUUCUCUUCAUAUUUGUGGUAAUUUUGGAAAAUAUUCUGUCCAGAGAAUAACACCUUAAAAGAAAGAACUGUGUGAUAAU